rnacentral:rRNA from 1 species
GCUUCCCUCUUUCUUCGUGCCUAAUACAUGCAAGUCGAGCGAACAGACGAGGAGCUUGCUCCUCUGACGUUAGCGGCGGACGGGUGAGUAACACGUGGAUAACCUACCUAUAAGACUGGGAUAACUUCGGGAAACCGGAGCUAAUACCGGAUAAUAUAUUGAACCGCAUGGUUCAAUAGUGAAAGACGGUUUUGCUGUCACUUAUAGAUGGAUCCGCGCCGCAUUAGCUAGUUGGUAAGGUAACGGCUUACCAAGGCAACGAUGCGUAGCCGACCUGAGAGGGUGAUCGGCCACACUGGAACUGAGACACGGUCCAGACUCCUACGGGAGGCAGCAGUAGGGAAUCUUCCGCAAUGGGCGAAAGCCUGACGGAGCAACGCCGCGUGAGUGAUGAAGGUCUUCGGAUCGUAAAACUCUGUUAUUAGGGAAGAACAAAUGUGUAAGUAACUAUGCACGUCUUGACGGUACCUAAUCAGAAAGCCACGGCUAACUACGUG